AUGGUCAUUUUAUGGCUUCUCAUGCUUGUCUAAUGGGAGGUGUGGAAUGAAAGAAACACAAGAGUCUUUCGAAACAGAUCGACUAUGCCUAUUAUUUUGGUCGACAACAUCAAAGUGGAGGUAAGAAAUUGGGUCCUUGCAGUGGGUAAGCAUUUUUUUUCUUUGAUGCCGCGAGAUUAG
rnacentral:rRNA from 1 species